CCUACGGGAGGCAGCAGUCGAGAAUCAUUCACAAUGGGGGAAACCCUGAUGGUGCGACGCCGCGUGGGGGAAUGAAGGUCUUCGGAUUGUAAACCCCUGUUAUGUGGGAGCAAAUUAAAAAGAUAGUACCACAAGAGGAAGAGACGGCUAACUAUGUGCCAGCAGCCGCGGUAAUACAGAGGUCUCAAGCGUUGUUCGGAAUCACUGGGCGUAAAGCGUGCGUAGGCGGUUUCGUAAGUCGUGUGUGAAAGGCGCGGGCUCAACCCGCAGACGGCACAUGAUACUGGGAGACUAGAGUAAAGGAGGGGGAGGCGGAAUUCGCGGUGGAGCAGUGAAAUGCGUAGAUAUCGAGAGGAACACUCGUGGCGAAGGCGGGUUCCUGGACAUUAACUGACGCUGAGGCACGAAGGCCAGGGGAGCGAAAGGGAUUAGAUACCCCAGUAGUC
rnacentral:rRNA from 1 species